UACGGAGGGUGCGAGCGUUGUCCGGAAUCACUGGGCGUAAAGGGCGCGUAGGCGGUGCGGUAAGCGUGCGGUGAAAGCUCGGGGCUCAACCCCGCGUCGGCCGUGCGAACUGCUGGACUGGAGCAUGUCAGAGGCGGGUGGAAUUCCGGGUGUAGCGGUGGAAUGCGUAGAGAUCCGGAAGAACACCGGUGGCGAAGGCGGCCCGCUGGGACAUAGCUGACGCUGAGGCGCGACAGCGUGGGGAGCAAACAGG
rnacentral:rRNA from 1 species